UUGAACGCUGGCGGCAGGCCUAACACAUGCAAGUCGAGCGGAUGAAGGGAGCUUGCUCCUGGAUUCAGCGGCGGACGGGUGAGUAAUGCCUAGGAAUCUGCCUGGUAGUGGGGGAUAACGUCCGGAAACGGGCGCUAAUACCGCAUACGUCCUGAGGGAGAAAGUGGGGGAUCUUCGGACCUCACGCUAUCAGAUGAGCCUAGGUCGGAUUAGCUAGUUGGUGGGGUAAAGGCCUACCAAGGCGACGAUCCGUAACUGGUCUGAGAGGAUGAUCAGUCACACUGGAACUGAGACACGGUCCAGACUCCUACGGGAGGCAGCAGUGGGGAAUAUUGGACAAUGGGCGAAAGCCUGAUCCAGCCAUGCCGCGUGUGUGAAGAAGGUCUUCGGGUUGUAAAGCACUUUAAGUUGGGAGGAAGGGCAGUAAGUUAAUACCUUGCUGUUUUGACGUUACCAACAGAAUAAGCACCGGCUAACUUCGUG
rnacentral:rRNA from 1 species